AGAAACUUAGGAUAGCCCCCAAACCGAAGGCCUUCAAAGCCUUAAACAAGAGUUGAACCCUCUUAGUUUCUG
rnacentral:tRNA from 1 species